rnacentral:rRNA from 1 species
ACAGAGGGUGCAAACGUUGUUCGGAAUCACUGGGCGUAAAGCGUGUGUAGGCGGCUUCUCAAGUCGGGUGUGAAAUCCCAGGGCUCAACCCUGGAAGUGCAUUCGAAACUGGGUAGCUAGAGUACUGGAGAGGAAGGUGGAAUGCUUGGUGUAGAGGUGAAAUUCGUAGAUAUCAAGCGGAUCACCGGUGGCGAAGGCGGCCUUCUGGACAGAUACUGACGCUGAGACACGAAAGCGUGGGGAGCAAACAGGA